rnacentral:rRNA from 1 species
AUUGAACGCUGGCGGCAGGCCUAACACAUGCAAGUCGAACGGUAACAGGAAGAAGCUUGCUUCUUUGCUGACGAGUGGCGGACGGGUGAGUAAUGUCUGGGAAACUGCCUGAUGGAGGGGGAUAACUACUGGAAACGGUAGCUAAUACCGCAUAACGUCGCAAGACCAAAGAGGGGGACCUUCGGACCUCUUGCCAUCGGAUGUGCCCAGAUGGGAUUAGCUAGUAGGUGGGGUAACGGCUCACCUAGGCGACGAUCCCUAGCUGGUCUGAGAGGAUGACCAGCCACACUGGAACUGAGACACGGUCCAGACUCCUACGGGAGGCGGCAGUGGGGAAUAUUGCACAAUGGGCGCAAGCCUGAUGCAGCCAUGCCGCGUGUAUGAAGAAGGCCUUCGGGUUGUAAAGUACUUUCAGCGGGGAGGAAGGGAGUAAAGUUAAUACCUUUGCUCAUUGACGUUACCCGCAGAAGAAGCACCGGCUAACUCCGUG